rnacentral:rRNA from 1 species
GACGAACGCUGGCGGCGUGCUUAACACAUGCAAGUCGAACGAAGUGGCGAACGGGUGAGUAACGCGUCAUCAACCUGCCCUUCAGGGGGGGACAACAGUUGGAAACGACUGCUAAUACCGCAUACUGAAGGAGGGGAUUGCGUUUGAUUAGCUCGGUGGGGGGGGAACGGCCCACUAAGGCGAUGAUCAGUAGCCGGUUGGGAGGGAGGACCGGGCACAUUGUGACUGAGAAACGGCCCAGACUCCUACGGGAGGCAGCAGUGGGGAAUCUUCCGCAAUGGACGAAAGUCUGACGGAGCAACGCCGCGGGAGUGAUGACGGCCUUCGGGUUGUAAAGCUCUGUUAAUCGGGACGCGGUACCGGAAGAGAAAGCCACGGCUAACUACGUGCCAGCAGCCGCGGUAAUAC